AAGUAAAAUCAAAAGAUUCAAACAUUGGAAUAUACACUUGAUCAAAAACACACUAACCCUUUUUUACAAAUCUUUCUUCUUUUCAUCAUCUGACCCUUACCUCUUUGUCCCAGUGUCUCCUACGGUGAAACUUCGGUAUCUGGGUUUUACCUUUUUUCUUUUACCAGAGAUAAAAUUUCACUGCUUUGGAUCCGCCCCAUACCCCUACUUUUUACCCUACCUUCCUUUCACCCUUUAAAUUGCUAGACGAUCCAAGCUCGCCUAAAGAAAGAAACAAGUGAAAGAAGAAACAAAAUUUUCUAACUCUUUGAAAAGUUGGGUCAAUCGCCAGUACAUUCCAACACUUGUUUCUCUCUGGCAGUAUGGAUGAUUAUUACAGAAGGAACCAUGUUCCAGCUUUUGGUAGCUGGGAUUGGAACAAUGACCUUCCUUUUACUCAGUGUUUGAAUCGGCUCGGCAAACCGGAUUCCUUCGUUAUAGCUACGCCGAGGAUCGUGAUUUAUACGUCGCUGGCGAUCUUUAUGAGAACGAUGUCGUCACUCCCGCCGUGAUUGUCGUUCCUCGUAAAAGGACAAAAGUAAGACAGUCGCAUGUUAAAGACGGCAAAAAGCAAGAAUGGGAGGUCAGUGACGUGAAACAACCGGCAUCGGCAGCAAGCCCCAUUCCCGUGUCCAAGCCAACUCCAAAACCCGUUGAUGAAGACCUUUACAAAAUCUCGCCUGACCUACUUUACACUAAAACCAAAAAGAAAAAAAGGUUGAGCUUGUUCUCAUGCUGUUUGGUGCCAAGUUGAUCAUCUUGGAGGAUUACGUAAAUAUAGUUCUUUUGAUCCGUCCCUUCCCCUUGGUGUACUCAAGGGU